AGUACCUUGCUGUAGGAUAUCGUGUCAAAAAUGGCUUCGAUCUCAAUGGGGUCGGAGACAGUGACGGAGACUGCAUGAGAAGUGGACAGAGCAUCAGUUCUCAAGGCGGGCAUCGUGUUGGAGUGGAGGAAUUGAUCCAUCAUCGCCCAUUCCGGGAAAAUAUGAUGAACGCCAAUGUAUUCAGCAAAGCUGGCAAAUCCUUCCGACAGCCAGAGGUCGUCCCACCAUUUCAUCGUCACCAGGUUGCCGAACCAUUGAUGGGCCAAUUCGUGAGCGAUGAUCAAGACGACCCGCUGCUUGGCCGCAGACGAUGUCGUGUUGUUGUCCAUGAGCAGGGCGCUUUCUCGGAACACGGCCAGGCCCCAAUUCUCCAUGGCACCUAUUUUUGAUUGAAACGUCAUUUUAUUUGGGCGUCAUUUGCAUCCUGUUCGAGGAAAAGGAACAUACCGGCAGCAAAAUCCGGCAUGGAGAUGAGAUCCAGUUUUGGCAAAGGAUAGCUGAAGCCGAAGAACGAUUGGAAAUAGUCGAAAAGUUUGACGGCCGCUUUGAGAGCAAAGUCAGCCUGGCUAGUCAUGUGCGGCGGAGCGUAGAUAGAUAAAGUAACGCCCGUCUUAGUCACCUCGUGGAUGCGGCCGUAGUCACACACCACCAAUGCAACGAGAUGGACACGUCUUCAGUAUUGUCCAGUGGCAUAUUGGAGAGGGCAACGUAAUUACGCUGUCGAACGGCGGCGAUCUUGAAACGAGCUUUGUACUGGGGCUCGUCCCAACAAGGGAAAGCCGAGCGGGCCGAUGUCGGUUGGAAAUGAGUCGUCACCAAGUACCUGCCAGCGUUUUAAUCAAUCAAGCAGGAGAGCGAGCUCUCUUCCAAUUUUGAGAGCAUCAGCUGGUAGUGAACCUUUCACAAUGAAAGGUCUUCUUCAAUUCAAUAAGCAUGCAACUCUACCAGUGUACUAGCAAUCCCAAAAUGAAAAGAGUGCUGUUGUUCGAGGAAGCCCAAUCUUGGAUUCUUACUCUUUUGACUACCAUCUAGGCCCUUUGUGAAGACUGACAGAGCAGUGAAAAAGCCUCUUUCAACCCCUUAUCAGCCGGUAUAGGUUCUUUCUAUAGCAAACUUCCAUUUAUAACUCUGUUGCCUAUUUAGAGCUGGACAGCUAGCC